rnacentral:rRNA from 1 species
UACGUAGGGGGCAAGCGUUGUCCGGAAUUAUUGGGCGUAAAGCGCGUGUAGGCGGUCCGGUAAGUCGGCUGUGAAAGUCCAGGGCUCAACCCUGGGAUGCCGGUCGAUACUGCCCGGACUAGAGUUCGGAAGAGGCGAGUGGAAUUCCCGGUGUAGCGGUGAAAUGCGCAGAUAUCGGGAGGAACACCAAUGGCGAAGGCAGCUCGCUGGGACGUUACUGACGCUGAGGCGCGAAAGCGUGGGGAGCGAACAGG